UACGGAGGGGGCGAGCGUUAUUCGGAAUUAUUGGGCGUAAAGGGCGCGUAGGCGGCUCUUUAAGUCAAAGGUGAAAUCCCUCGGCUCAACUGAGGAACUGCCUUUGAAACUGAGGAGCUUGAGUCCGGGAGGGGGUAGCGGAAUUCCCAGUGUAGCGGUGAAAUGCGUAGAUAUUGGGAGGAACACCAGUGGCGAAGGCGGCUACCUGGACCGGAACUGACGCUGAUGCGCGAAAGCGUGGGUAGCAAACAGG
rnacentral:rRNA from 2 species